CAGGACACAGACAUGAUCAUUGGAAAAUUCCUCAGAUCUUCUAAGACUAGGUUUGCUUUGUCCCUGAAUAUGCUUCCAGAGUACCCUCUGCUGACCCUAAAUACUGGUCUAUAGCACAAAAUGGAAAACCGUCUGUCAAUACACAUUUUGUGAUAGGCUCAGUUUUGUCUAACUAUUGUCAAUCUCCAUAACCCUAGCACCUAGAAAGUCUCUGGCAGAUAUCAGAUGCUCAAUAUCUGUUGAGUGAAUGUAUUAAUCAUCUCCUUUAAAAACAGAGUCAGUGGAUUGAAGGGAUUGAUUUCAGUAGGCAGCAAUUAGGUCCAACAAACAAGGAUCUAUUACCGAGCGUCAACUGUGGUGAAACUGUGCUUGGUGGAAGUUCAAGAAGGAAUAUAUCAAAAGUCACGUCCUGCAGGAAGUCACAACCAAUGAAGAUAAACUGUUACCACUGAAAAUGGUCCUCGUAUGAAUCAAAGAUGCUGGUACACUUGAU